UGUGUAGGCGGUUGUUUAAGUUUGGUGUGAAAUCUCCCGGCUCAACUGGGAGGGUGCGCCGAAUACUGAAUGACUUGGAGUGCGGGAGAGGUGAGUGGAAUUCCUGGUGUAGCGGUGAAAUGCGUAGAUAUCAGGAGGAACACCGGCGGUGUAGACGGCUCACUGGACCGUAACUGACGCUGAGACACGAAAGCGUGGGUAGCAAACAGGAUUAGAUACCCUGGUAGUCCACGUCCUAAACGAUGCAUAUUUGGUGUGGGUCAUUCAGUUGAUCCGUGCCGGAGCUAACGCGUUAAAUAUGCCGCCUGGGGAGUACAGUCGCAAGGCUGAA
rnacentral:rRNA from 1 species